CAAGCUGGUCAACCAGCAAACCACCUUACGCUGGUCAGGCUGUUUUUUCAGCAGGGCAAUAUUGACCAAUGCAAUGGUCAUUCCUAGCUCUCGUCUCCUGCACUGUGGCUUAAACGUUCCUCUAUUGCUCUAAGGGCUCCCACACACAGCUGCGAGCGGUGCAGCGCUGGAAACCACACACAGCUCGUCCACUGUUCAUGGGCUUACGUCAUCCGUUGCCCAACUGAAUUGUGGGUCUGUUGCGUCGCGUUGCUCCUGUCGCUCGCGUUGAAAAGUUCAACUAUUGCUGCACCGACGGACAACAACAGAGGGCACCAGCCAAUCAAAUUACGGUUAUUCUUCAAGUCAUUUGCAUAGCUACCGUCAGGAACACCCACUGGCAUGCGUCGACGGAACGCAACUGUGUGUGGGAAUCACUUUGGAUAAAACCGUCUGGUAAAUUAAUAUAUACAGUGCAUACGGAAAGUAUUCACAGCCAUUAACUUUUUCGACAUUUCGUUAUAUUACAGCCUUAUUCCAAAAUGGAUUCAAUUCAUUUUUUCCUCAAAAUUGUACACACAAUACCCCAUAAUGACAACAUGAAAAAAGUAGUUUUUAAAUGUUUGCAAAUUUAUUAGAAAUAUAAUAUGUACGUAACAUUGUUGGGUUGGGUUAUUGGUCACCUCCCUAACUAAAGCCCUUCUCCACCAAUCACGGGACGGCCAGCUCUAGGAGGAGUCCUGGUGGUUCCAAACUUCUUCCAUUUACGGAUGAUGGAGGCCACUGUGCUCAUUGGGACCUUUAAAGCAGCAGAAUGUUUUCUGUACCCUUCCCCAGAUCUGUGCCUAGAGACAAUCUCGGACGUCUACAGACAAUUCCUUUGACUUCAUGCUUGUUUUGUGGUUUGACAUGCACUGUUAAGUGUGGGACCUUAUAGACAGGUGUGUGUCUAUCCAAAUCAUGUCUAAUCAACUGAAUGUACCACAGGUGGACAGUUAACAAGCAAUUUUGCAAAAAAAAAUUGCAAAAAUCUCAAACAAACUUAAAGUUGUCAUUAUGGGGUAUUAUUUGUAGAAUGUUGAAGGGAAAAAAUUAAUUCAGUCCAUUUUGGAAUAAGGCUGAAACAUAACAUAAUGCACUGUGUCUCUCUGCACUUGUAGCGCUGUGGAUACUUCCCAUAAUGCACUGUGUCCCUCUGCACAUGUAGCGCUGUGAAUACUUCCCAUAAUGCACUGUGUCCCUCUGCACAUGUAGCGCUGUGAAUACUUCCCAUAAUGCACUGUGUCCCUCUGCACAUGUGUCUGAUGUCAUCCUACAGGUGCGGGGUGAGUUGAUGGCCAUAUUCAAAUUUGCAGUGGUCUCUUAAUUUUGUAUAUGACGUCAACUCAUUUGAAUAUCACUCAGCAACCGUAAGAUGACAUCAGAAAAAUGUGCAGUGGUCUCUUAAUGAUUUCCAUAUAUAUAUACAUGCCUGUAGGUAUUGGGUUAUACAUGAUAUAUGUUGUACAUAGCUGGUUCAGGUGUAGGUAUUUAGGGUUCUCUGUAGGUAUUUUAGGUUCUCUGUAGGUUCUCUGUAGGUGUUUUAGGUUCUCUGUAGGUAUUGUAGGUUCUCUGUAGGUAUUGUAGUAUGACAUUUUGGCCUUAAAGGUGUUCACCAUUUAUGUGUGUGUGCUAUAUUCAACCAUUUUCUCUUUUGGUAUGGUCUGUGCACAUGUUGAAGAAAGAGACGUACUUUAGUACGUAAUUGCGUACUAUUAAUGGAGAUGUCAUGUCUUGUCUGACUUGUUAGGGGGGUAUAAAUUGUGUUUCCUUGUUUGUAACAUCAGACUGCAUCUGUUAGCAACACGACGUAGGUCUCCGGAUUCGUGAAUAAAGCUCUCUGAGAUUUCUGACUCUACUCCUGGCUGACUGAGACUUCAUUUCUCAAAAAUCUCUAGACAAAAUUCGGUUCCUACAGUAUUGUAGGUUCUCUGUAGGUAUUUUAGGUUCUCUGUAGGUUCUGUGUAGGUAUUUUAGGUUCUCUGUAGGUGUUGUAUAUAGCUGGUUCAGGUGUAGGUAUUUUAGGUUCUCUGUAGGUGUUUUAGGUUCUCUGUAGUUUCACUGUAGGUGUUUUAGGUUCUCUGUAGGUGUUGUAUGUAGCUGGUUCAGGUGUAGGUAUUUUAGGUUCUCUGUAGGUAUUUGCAUCCUUCAAACCUGCUCACCUGACUCCUAAUCUGCUCAAUGGCUCCCCCGUGUGGUGAAUUGUCCCCAAUGCAACCUUACAGUCUUUGU